rnacentral:rRNA from 1 species
UGCAAGUCAAGGAAAGCGACUUCGGUCGUAAGUACUUGGCGCAAGGGUGAGUAAGGUAUAGGUAAUCUGCCCUUUGGACUGGGAUAACCUCGAGAAAUCGAGGACAAUACCAGAUGAUGCAGCGGGGCCGCAUGGUCAUGUUGUUAAAGAUUUAUCGCCAAAGGAUGAACCUAUAUUCCAUCAGGUAGUUGGUAGGGUAACGGCCUACCAAGCCUACGACGGAUAGCUGGUCUGAGAGGAUGAUCAGCCACAUCGGAACUGAGACACGGUUCAGACUCCUACGGGAGGCAGCAGUGAGGAAUAUUGCGCAAUGGGCGAAAGCCUGACGCAGCAACGCCGCGUGGAUAAUGAAGUUCUUCGGAAUGUAAAAUCCUUUUGCAGAGGAAGAAUAUCCCGAUUUAUCGGGACUGACGGUACUCUGCGAAUAAGCCACGGCUAACUCUGUGCCAGCAGCCGCGGUGAUACAGGGGUGGCAAGCGUUGUCCGGGAUUUACUGGGUGUAAAGGGUGCGCAGGCGGGCUCAUAAGUCGGGGGUUAAAUCCAUGUGCUUAACACAUGCAUGGCUUCCGAUACUGUGAGUUCUAGAGUCUCGAAGAGGAAGAUGGAUUCUCCGGUGUAACGGUGGAAUGUGUAAAUAUCGGAAAGAACCACCAAUGGCGAAAGUAGUCUAUCUGGUCGAGAACUGAACGCCUCAAGCACCAAAAGCGUGGGGAGCAAACCGGAUAAAAUACCC